rnacentral:antisense_RNA from 1 species
GACCUGCAAAUAGACCAGUGCAGGCAUUGAACAUCUGGGGCAAGACUAGAGUCUCCCAGCAGAUUAGUCUGCAUAUCAAGAACAACUAGACCUUAUAAAAGUCACAACAGAGCAGAGGGACGUUCACCUGUAAAUGUACACUUUCUAGUGUUUUCUCAAAUUAGAGCAUCUGAGGGUACCUUGACAGAAAUCAAAUGCAUCGAGACCAAAAUGUAUGACCUGAAACUGGUCCUGAGGAAACAUCAGACGGACCACGUUGAGCAUCACACUGCAGAAUGUAGGCCUGCAUUCUUCCAAACUGUUGGGACGAUGAAAGUCAGGGAAAAACUGAGGAAUUGUUCCAAACUGGGGCAGACUGCAAAGAUGUGACAAUUAAAUGCAACAUGUAACUCGGGGUUUCUGC